GUCGGUUAUUUUAACGCAGAGGGUCCACCCGUUCCCAUCCCGAACACGGAAGUUAAGCUCUGCAGUGGCAACAAUACUUGGCUGGCGACGGCCCGGGAAGAUCGCUCAUAGCCGACA
rnacentral:rRNA from 1 species